rnacentral:rRNA from 1 species
UACAGAGGGUGCGAGCGUUAAUCGGAAUUACUGGGCGUAAAGCGCGCGUAGGCGGCUUUGCAAGUCGGGUGUGAAAUCCCCAGGCUUAACCUGGGAACUGCAUUCGAGACUGCAUUGCUAGAGUAUGGGAUAGGGAAGUGGAAUUUCCGGUGUAGCGGUGAAAUGCGUAGAUAUCGGAAGGAACAUCAGUGGCGAAAGCGACUUCCUGGACCAAUACUGACGCUCAUGUGCGAAAGCGUGGGGAGCAAACAGG